GAGACUGGGGUCUACCCUGGGAACUCAGGCUGCUAUCUUCAAGAUCAUCACUAGGCCAGGAAGGGAAGUGAGGCAAGAGCAAGCAAAAUUCCACAAAGUUUUCCUUAUGUGUGUAUAUGCUUGUGGUGCUUCUGACCUGGAAGAGAUCCCAAUGACACGAUCCUCCUGCACUAAUUCCUGAACAAAACUGGGGCCUUGGGUGAAACAGAAGCGGCAGUUUUGAGACGUUAGUUGCUAUGAUCGGCCUGCAGAAAGAGCAGAGGCCAGCAGUCUUUGGAAUUCAGGGCAUUUAAUGGACUCACAAAACUGAGCCACAAAAGAUGACAUCUGCACCCACCUCCCACACCAAACAUCAGCAGAAAGUCUUUUCCUGGCCACUCACCUUUAUUUUAUAAUGUGCCCAAGCUACCAGAAAAUUGCACUUCAAGAGCCAGAAGGAAAGGAGGGGAUGUGGGCCAGAAUUAUAGGUAACCAGGGGAUUCUGUGUGCUUCUCCUGAGACAUUCCUCCUAAGAGUUUGCAACGAAGAUGCUGAGUACGCAGACCAUCACUUCAGCCUUCACCACAUAAUGACAUGGCGUGAUCAGGUGUAUCAUUAGGGCAUGCUACAAAAUGUUGUUUCUUCCUGCCUCAUUCUGGUUUCCCCAAACCUGAAUCAGUAAUUCCAGUGGGUCAGUUCUCCCCAGAAUAGAAGUAUCUCCAGAACCUGCUGGAGAUUACUGCGAUUCCCGCCACAUCACUGCGAUUACUGCAGUAAGAUUUUGGAGCGGGACCGUCUUGGGUUCAAGUCUUGGCUCCCAUGUGUGACUUUUGACAAGAGGCUUAAUGUCUUUGAGCCUAGAUUUCAUUAUUUAUAAAGUGAGAAUAUCUACCACAUGGCACAUUUAUAAAGAUAAAAGAUCAUGUAUGUACUUCGCAUUAUAAGUAAUACAAAGUAAAUGCUCAACAAAAUGAUGAUUAGCCUGUGUUUUAUACCUUAAUAUCUGCUCCAACCUCGAUUAUAUGACAUCCUCCUGAUGGGACUGUCUCCUCCCUUCCCUCUUCAGGCCAGCAUCUCCUUGCUUUUGCCACAGCCCCUGUGUUAAAAAUCUUCAUCAUCAUCACACAUUUUCCCUGCUGAAAAGUUGCAUCACGAUGCUUACUGAACAACUCUCAAAUCCUUGUCUCGCCAUGAAAGUUCUCUGUGCCUUGACUCUUGUUCCCUUUCACUUGUGUCUUUCACUGACAGCAACAUAUGGACACGUGCCGCGUGCCGGGUGUGGUGGACGUAGUGUGAGCAAGACCGCAUCCCUGCAUCCAUGUGGCACAUGUAACCAGCUGCAGUCACUACCCAGAGCUCACUGCCCCCCGGGAACACCUCACUCACUUACCUCAUUAAUGAAGGCAUGAAUACUCGUGCCUCGAGUAACAAAUAAGGGCUGCAACGUAGGCAAAGGUGAGGACAGAGAUCCAUCUCAUUGAAGGGAGCGUUCAGAGGAAAGGAAGACAAAUACAAAAAUGGGAAAUCCAGUCUCUGGUUUUAGCUUUAACACUAAUGGGAGUGUGGGGCGAGGUGCUACAGGAGCCAGUGCAGGUAUUUACAGCCAUGCAAGACUCCCAAUCCAGUAGAGGUGGUUAGAGACGCUUCGCAAACAAAUUGUCAUGAGUGUAGGCCCUGAAAGAUGGGUAGGAUUUCUACAGCAUUCCAACCAGUGGGAAAAGCAUCAAACCAGGCCAGUCACCUUGGCAACCAGGUGUCACAUUACCAUCAGAGAAACUGUGCAUGUAAUGAUCUUAGGAUUGCUCAGCUGCAGGCAUUCUGGUCAUCGAAAAACAGCCGUUCUCAAAUGUUGGUGUCCGUCGGCCUCAUCUAGACAGCUAAUGAAUGGCCCAGACUUACUGAAGUAGACCAGUCUUUAGUAAACUUCAGUAAAAAUGGGCCUGAGCCUGUUUUUACCAACUUUCCCAGGUGAUUUUUGAAACACGUUACAUUUGGAGAACCACCGCCUUAAAAACUAAGCCAGUGUUUUUCCAAGUCUGGUCCGUGACCAGCAGCAGCAGCAGCUGGGAGCUGCUUACAAAUGCGGGAGCUCAGAAUCCACCCCAGACCUACUGAAUGAGUAUGUGUGUAUUAAUAUUAUAUCUGGGUGAUUCAUGUGGACACUUAACUGUGACAGCAACUGAUUCAAACAAGUGGCUCUUAACCAGAGUUUCACACUGGAAUCACACUGGAAGUUUUAAAAUUUACUGAUACCUGAUGAUACCCUCAGAUUCUUACCAUAUUUGUA